CUGCCUCCUCGAAGCGGCUCCUCAGCUCAUCGGUCCAAGCACGUGCUCGUUAAACAGUAGAGCGAUUUCUAAUUUUUUCUUUUCGGAGGAAUUAGUAACAUCCCCUACUGUUUAAUGUAAGAAAUCCCAUUCUGGCAAUUCAAAACAACAUAAUCUCAACAAUUGAAGGGAUGGAUUGCUGGCACUGUCUUCUAAACAGCGCAGCAAGUGAAGCGAAGAGAUGAGUUUGUUACCAGCUUUGGGAAUCUUCAAUCUGGACUCUGCCACGCUGUUACCUUGCAAGCAGAAAGGUGUCACGUGAAUCCCGGCGCUACAGAAGCGCUACGACAUCGGAUGACUUUCUCCUCUGUCUUUGAGCCUUGUGUAUGCGCAUACAGCCAACAGUAGACUCCAUCCACUUCUAGAAGCAUGGGUGUUUAAGAAGCUUGAAAACAGCAGCCUGAAAUGUGGAGUUCUAAUGCACUUGGAAAUGCUUUCAUGGCCUUUCCUGCUCCUCAGAAAUACUGCUUGAUUCAAUAGUAAGGCAGAGGAGUAGCUGUUUUGUGAAAACGCGUGAAUAAUCCUCGAAAGAAGUUCAGGGAGUUUUCAUCACUGAGGUCAAAUGGAAAUACAGGAUUUGGUGCUAUGCAUAACGCAGACUUGCCUAAGCAAAGAAGAAAACAAGACUUACGCUAAAAGACUUGAUAAACUCUUGCCAGGACUUUGAAGUCGUGCACGAAUUUCUGAAGGCCACCACUUCUGUCAAGGUAAACAAGAGCAAUUUCCCUCAUUUUCUGUAUUUCAUGAUGCAUCUUCCAAGAAGGAUCUUUGCACUCUUUAUCAAAAUGUUGGAAUAAACCGUGAAGAAAUGACAUUAGAACUGGCCAUGCUACUGUAAUAAUAAAGGUGUAUAUUAACAAAG